AUUGAACGCUGGCGGCAGGCCUAACACAUGCAAGUCGAACGAGUGGCGGACGGGUGAGUAAUGUCUGGGAUACUGCCUGAUGGAGGGGGAUAACUACUGGAAACGGUAGCUAAUAUCGCAUACCAUCGGAUGUGCCUAGAUGUGAUUAGCUUGUAGGUGGGGUACAGGCCCACCUAGGCGACGAUGCCUAGCUGGUCUGAGAGGAUGACCACCCACAGUGGGACGAGGACACGGUCCAAACUCCUAAGGGAGACAGGGGUGAGGAAUAUUGCACAGAGGGCGCGAGCCUGAUGCAGCCAUGCCGCGUGUAUGAGGAAGACCUUCGGGUUGUAAAGUACUUUCAGCGGGGGGGCGUUACCCACAGAAGAAGCACCGGCUAACUCCGUGCCAGCAGCCGCGGUAAUAC
rnacentral:rRNA from 1 species